AAGUUGUAACAAGGUUUCCGUAGGUGAACCUGCGGAAGGAUCAUUAAUUUAUGUGUAGAUUGUAUAUUUGGGUAGGAGCUUUGCCAAAGGGUCCCCAUGCCCCCUAAUAACCCCUGGGUAAAAAAACCGAACAACUGUUAACAAUGGAUAUCUUGGUUCUC
rnacentral:misc_RNA from 1 species